AAAACACCUGCUGCUCCUGCUGAGAGGAAGUGAGUGUAAAAACAGUCACAGGUAUUUUAGGAGAAACUGCUGAAGCAAAGUUGGUACUUUAAUGAAGUGUUUUGUCCUCAGUGUCCAGGUCUUGUUCUGUCAGUGUUUUCCGUCUGAUCCUCCGAUGGAUGCUCUUUUGAAAUGCUCUUCCUGGAGACAGGGGGUCUGGCUGCGCUCUGACCCAGAGGAAGAGGGGCCACGCGGGGCCACCGACCCCGUCCUGAGCCCAAGAGUCUGCACAGAGCCACACAAGGACAUGCAUCCAUCAGAGAACGGCUAAAUAAUAAUGCAUCAUAUUGCUGCCUUUAUUUUGGACUGCCUUCAUGUCAGGAGUGCAUCGGUGAUGCCUCAGGGCCAAACAUAUGCAAAGGAGCAGAGGACUUCAUAUUGACCAGAGGCUCGAUUAUCAGACGUGGGAUUGGGAUCACAGGCCAGCAGCAGCAGCCACGGAAAGUUUCCCAGUGAGGAUGGAGACGGAGCCGCUGAGGAAGUGGGGAGCCAUAUGGAGGAGAUCUGCUGAUUUUCCAAGUGUUCCAGAACCUGCUUAACUCAGACUGCAUCCUGUCUUGCUUUGGACUCACUAUCAAUAAUAUCCUCUGUGAGACUGUUAUCUGCAAUACAGAAAUCCAAUUCAUUCACUCAUUUUCUGCUAAAAAGUAUCACAAAAUUCCUUAAAUAAAAGAGUUUUUUCAUUUAUUUUGUUUAUCCUUACAAAGUGUAUCUUGAUGUGCAUGGUCUUUUAUAUCAGCAGUUUUGUUGCUACGUUUUGUAACACUUUAC
ensembl:lncRNA